GUCAUGGCAGCAGCACAGGUACCAAAACUGGAACGAUACAGAGAAGAUCAGCAUGGCUCCUGCACAGGGACAUCACAGAAAUUCAUGGAGUGUUCCAUAUUUUU
ensembl:snRNA U6 U6 spliceosomal RNA